CCUUCGGGCGCUGACGAGUGGCGGACGGGUGAGUAACGCGUAGGAAUCUGCCUCAUAGUGGGGGACAACUUGGGGAAACUCAAGCUAAUACCGCAUACGCCCUACGGGGGAAAGCGGGGGACCUUCGGGCCUCGCGCUAUGAGAUGAGCCUGCGUUAGAUUANNUUUUUNGUGGGGUAAAGGCCUACCAAGGCGACGAUCUAUAGCUGGUCUGAGAGGACGAUCAGCCACACUGGGACUGAGACACGGCCCAGACUCCUACGGGAGGCAGCAGUGGGGAAUAUUGGACAAUGGGCGCAAGCCUGAUCCAGCAAUACCGCGUGUGUGAAGAAGGCCUGAGGGUUGUAAAGCACUUUCAAUUGGGAGGAAAACCUGUCGGUUAAUACCCGGCCAGCUUGGACAUUUACCCUUUAGAAAGAAAGCCACCCGGCUAACUCCGUGCCAGCAGCCGCGGUAAUACGGAGGGUGCGAGCGUUAAUCGGAAUUACUGGGCGUAAAGCGUGCGUAGGCGGUUGUCUAAGUCAGAUGUGAAAGCCCCGGGCUUAACCUGGGAACUGCAUUUGAUACUGGAUGACUAGAGUUUAAUAGAGGAGAGUGGAAUUUCAGGUGUAGCGGUGAAAUGCGUAGAGAUCUGAAGGAACACCAGUGGCGAAGGCGACUCUCUGGAUUAAAACUGACGCUGAGGUACGAAAGCGUGGGUAGCAAACAGGAUUAGAUACCCUGGUAGUCCACGCCGUAAACGAUGUCAACUAGCCGUUGGGCCUUUUAACAGGCUUAGUGGCGCAGCUAACGCAUUAAGUUGACCGCCUGGGGAGUACGGCCGCAAGGUUAAAACUCAAAUGAAUUGACGGGGGCCCGCACAAGCGGUGGAGCAUGUGGUUUAAUUCGAUGCAACGCGAAGAACCUUACCUACCCUUGACAUCCAGAGAAUC
rnacentral:rRNA from 1 species